AAAUAUUAUUUUUUCAAUUUCAAAAGGGCAAAAGAUCUCUCUCCUCGUUAAAAUCUCUGUGGGGUACAUUAGUUUAGGGUUUCUGGCUGCAAUACUAUGUACCGACGAAUAUCGAUCCGGAUUAGGUGUUGUUUCUCAUCUUCUCACCCUACUUUGGACAGUGUUUUUGUAUUCAAACUAUCUUCUCAACAGAAGAAUUCCAGUUUCCCCUUUAUCUUAGGUAUUGUUUUGCACCUUCUCGCCCUCCUCGUUCCAGAUUGAAGAAAUUUAUAUAGUUAGAGAAACAUGAAUUCUUCCAAUCUCAGUUUGGUGCUCUUCUAUUUCAAUAUUUUACCAUCUUACGGUCUCUGAUUGUUGUAGUUGCCUAUCUAAUUUGAUACUUAUUCCAGAAAAAAAUGAACUAUAAAUUAAUUAUUCCUCUUCUAGUUUCCAAGAUUAGUAAUUUAUUUUAAAAUCCUUGCAGAUUUGUGAGCCUAAUUCUACAAAUCGGCUUUCUUCAACAAUAUUACUGUUCAAAAACAGAAGUGUUUAAUGUAACCAAAGGUUGUUUAACCAUAUUCGUGUUCAGUAUCAUUUCCUUCUGGGCCUCCUUAUAAUUUGUUCAACGUGGGUUUUCGAAAAAUGUAUUGUAGGAGUAGUAAAGUUGUGUGCUUGCUUGCCAAGAUACUCCUCCAUCAUAUUUUUCUUUGAGGCAAUUGAUUGGAUACCCAAAUCCUUAGCUAAAUUACCAUUGUCCUGCGCUUCUUUGCUUCUUUUAAGGCAUGGUACUACCUCCUUGGAUAAAUGAAGUGUAGGCGUGAGAACAAUGUCAUUUGAAGUACCUAAACAAAGAUCAGCAGUCUUGGCAAUUUUUUGCUCUUUUACACUGUCCGGAGAUCUGGUUUGUCGAUCUUUUAAACCUAUGUCACUCUGCGCCAAUUGCAAUAUAUUCCUAGAAUCCUUCUCACCUUGCUCAUGUACACUAAGCAAAGCAUCACAAGAGUUAGAACACUUGAAGUUUCCUGUGUAGAAUCUAAUCUAGUUGCAUUCAGUUAGUUUGUUUCAUUCCAUAGUUAGUUAUACCACUCACACGUGGCCUGAGUCGUGCUUUGUUCACGGCAAGGUUGUUUCCUAUUUUUCUUGGUCGUGCAUUGAGCACGUAGGUAACAUGGGAAAGGGUCCUGUUAUUUGUUU
rnacentral:lncRNA from 1 species